rnacentral:rRNA from 1 species
AGAAUCAACGCUGGCGGCGUGCCUAACACAUGCAAGUCGAACGAGAAAGUGGAGCAAUCCAUGAGUAAAGUGGCGACCGGGUGAGUAACACGUGACCAAUCUACCCUUGGAGUGGGGGAUAACCUCGGGAAACCGAGGCUAAUACCGCAUAAUACCCACGGGUCAAAGGAGCAAUUCGCUCGAGGAGGGGGUCGCGGCCGAUUAGUUAGUUGGCGGGGUAAUGGCCCACAAGACGAUGAUCGGUA